CGCAAUGGGCGAAAGCCUGACGGAGCAACGCCGCGUGAGGGACGAAGGCCUCUGGGCUGUAAACCUCUUUUCUCAAGGAAGAAGAUAUGACGGUACUUGAGGAAUAAGCCACGGCUAAUUCCGUGCCAGCAGCCGCGGUAAUACGGGAGUGGCAAGCGUUAUCCGGAAUUAUUGGGCGUAAAGCGUCCGCAGGCGGCCUUUCAAGUCUGCUGUUAAAGCGUGGAGCUUAACUCCAUUAUGGCAGUGGAAACUGAUCGGCUUGAGUAUGGUAGGGGCAGAGGGAAAUCGAAUUCCCGCGGCCGCCAUGGCGGCCGGGAGCAUGCGACGUCGGGCCCAAUUCGCCCUAUAGUGAGUCGUAUUACAAUUCACUGGCCGUCGUUUUACA
rnacentral:rRNA from 1 species